GUCUAUGGCCAUCCCACCUGAAUGAGCCCAAUCUCAUCUGAUCUUGGAAGCUAAGUAGGGUUCAGCCUGAUUAGUCCUGGGAAUAGCGAUGGCCUGCGAAUAUGAGGUGCUGUAAGCU
ensembl:rRNA 5S_rRNA 5S ribosomal RNA